AUUCUGGUAUCUAAAAAUGCUGCUGCUUCUCUUUGAAUCUCUGCUGAGAUUCCCAAGAGCAAGUGCUUUGCUUUGGAGGGGUUCCUAUCAUACUGCCUGCUUAAACAUGCCUUGCCAUAUUGUACCUGAUGGGAAGCGGAGAGCAGUUCAGAGGUGUGCGGAGUUGAUGGGAAAAUAAACAACACAGCAAAGUCUGAGGCGUAGCUGGAGCUUCAGAACCGUGCAUAACUGUGUGCGUAACUUCAAUUGCAGUCAGACCGCUCUGAAUGACUAGAGCCCUGCUUAAGAAAAAAUAUUAUCUAUUUUUAAAAUGCCAAUAGAGGGGUAGUAGUUGCUCAUACUGCUGCUGAAGCACUUCUGUGUUUUGCAUUAGAAGGAGGACACUUACAAGGACCAAGAGGCAAGAUGCAUGGGAAAAACUGACACUUAAGAAAAGAAUAACUAUUACAUUUUGGAGCUUGCAGAGGAACAAGUGUUAGAUAAAUGCAUAUGACAAACAGACCCUGUUUGAUCUCUCUAAGAAGAUUUGACAAGUCAGACACACAGGAGCCAUAAAUUACCUGUAAUGGCAAAAUUACAUCAGUUAUAACCUUUUAAGUAGUUGUGCCUCAUACAGCAUCAAAUCAGAGAUAGCAAUCUAAGGAAAACCAGUCUCUCUAUAUACAUUUCCCUUGUAAUAUACAGCUACAAGAGUAAGCUGUGUAUGAUUUUCAUAAAACAUGAUAAUAAUCAAACGGUUCUAGGCUCCAUAGCGUAA
rnacentral:lncRNA from 1 species